UACGAAGGGUGCAAGCGUUACUCGGAAUUACUGGGCGUAAAGGGUGCGUAGGCGGGUCUUUAAGUCAGGGGUGAAAUCCUGGAGCUCAACUCCAGAACUGCCUUUGAUACUGAGGAUCUUGAGUUCGGGAGAGGUGAGUGGAACUGCGAGUGUAGAGGUGAAAUUCGUAGAUAUUCGGAAGAACACCAGUGGCGAAGGCGGCUCACUGGUCCGGUACUGACGCUGAGGUGCGAAAGCGUGGGGAGCAAACAGG
rnacentral:rRNA from 1 species